rnacentral:rRNA from 1 species
AUUGAACGCUGGCGGCAGGCCUAACACAUGCAAGUCGAACGAGUGGCGGACGGGUGAGUGAUGUCUUAACACCUGCCUGAUGUAGGGGGCUAAGUAGUGUAAAAGUUAGCUAAUACCGCUUACCAUCAGUUGUGCCCAGAUGGGAUUAGCUGGUUGGUGGGGUAACGGCUCACCAAGGCGACGAGCCCUAGCUGGUCUGAGAGGAUGACCGGCCACACUGGAACUGAGACACGGUCCAGACUCCUACGGGAGGCAGCAGUAGGGAAUCUUGGGCAAUGGGCGAAAGCCUGAUGCAGCAACGCCGCGUGUAUGAAGAAGGCCUUCGGGUUGUAAAGUACUGUCGGCAGGGAGGCGUUACCUGCAGAAGAAGCACCGGCUAACUCCGUGCCAGCAGCCGCGGUAAUAC